CAGCCGCCGCGGGAAUACCAGCAGCCCAAGUGGUGGUCGCGAUUAUUGGGCCUAAAGCGCUCGUGGCCGGGCCGGUAAGUCCCUUGUGAAAUCGGACGGCCUAACCGUUCGGCGUGCAAGGGAUACUGUCGGUCUUGAGGCCGGGAGACGUCCGAGGUACUCCGGGGGUAGCGGUGAAAUGUUCUGAUCCUCGGGGGACCACCGGUGGCGAAGGCGUUCGACGAGAACGGGCCUGACGGUGAGGGGCGAAGGCUAGGGGAGCAAACGGGAUUAGAUACCCCCGUAGUCCCUGUCUCUUAUA
rnacentral:rRNA from 1 species